UUAAGUUCAGCGGGUAUUCCUACCUGAUCCGAGGUCAACCUUGUGAGGUUAGGGGUUUUACGGCCGGACACACGCCUGAACGUCCCGAGCGAUAGGUUCUACUACGCUGAGGUCCCGACGGGCCCGCCACUGUAAUUCGGAGCCUACAGCGCUUAAGCGCGCUGUAGCGCCCCAACACCAGGCUCGCACCCCUUUCGAGA
rnacentral:misc_RNA from 1 species